CCCCGCUGUAGUCUGUAGUGGACUGGCCUGAGGUCUUGCUACAAACGUCUGCUGGAAGAGAGUAGGUGAGUUGUGUUUAGUCUCUUUGCUAAAGAAAUGAGUCAAAGUUAAAAAGAUGUUUGGUGGCUAGCUAGUAGUUUUACAGCGGAAUAUCCCUUUAAACACACUCAGAUCUACUGUGAACACUUGGUCUUGGUCUAGUGUAAGGUUACGUUCACACUGCAGGUUAUGAUGCACAAUUCGGAUUCUUUGUUAAAUCCGAUAUUUCUGUGCGGUCGUUCACAUUACAACAACGAAUGCGGCAUCUGAAGUGAACAGAAUGCGUCUGUGAAGUGACCUGCAUGUGCACAAAACACAAAUCGCUUUGUGUUGUCGAACAAUGGUAACGUUUGUCGCAUAUUGAUGACAUAAAGGUCGGAUAAACGCGACCUGAGCGUCCACACUGCAGUCACAUCGGAUACAUAUCUGAUUUAUAUCCACAUAGAAAAGAGGCCUGGGUCGGAUUAGAACCAAUCAGAAUUGACCUGUUCACACUUAGAUGAAAAAAUCAGAUAUGAGUCACAGAUGGUUAAAAAAUCUGAAUUGACCUUCAGUGUGAACACAGACUUAGUCACAAAUGCAGAGAUGGACUUCACUUGUUCUGCAGCUGCUGACACUAGAGUCCAGGUUUGAGUUUAGUCCAUGAGGGCAUGAACAGAUCUGAAAGUCUGAGAGGUUAAAUUUAUGUCCCUGACUUUCAUAAACUGAGUCCUCUUUGAAAUUUAAUGUUUUCUUUCUGGAGGUUUCUUGUUAAAAUAUAACGUCCCCCAGUGUGCCGUGUUCUUCCUUACGGCUUUAUCCUUAAACUACAUCAGAGCUGAACAAAGAGAACAAAAACAGACACCGAUCAGGCUGAAUCCAUCAAAUAUUAACCCAGAAUCCAAACCUGAAAGUAAUCACAGAGUUUGAUCCGAACGCAAAGCUUUGGAAAUCCUUAAACAACCAGAGACAAACACAUUCAUGUGAAGAAGAAACGUAUCAGAAUCACGACUCGGCUUCAGACACAGUUCCAUGUUUUUAGUCCUCUAACAGCAGCAGUGAUGAAGCUCCUGGUCCACAAACCUGCUGAGGUUACAGACACUUCAGCUGGAGUGUUGAAUGAAGUAGAGAUGAAACACCUUUAAACCUCCACUUUCUGCACUAUACACUCUAUAUAGACUGGACCUGGUGCAUUAUGGGAAGGGUCGAGUGGGUGAUUCAGGGCCAGCAGCACUCCUCCUGUCAUUGGUGCUGAGCUGGCACUUCUGUACAAGGAAACUCAUUUACACAACAUUGUACAGGUGAAGGUCCUCGGAGAGCAAACAGAUGUGUCCAUGCUGGGAUCAGUUUUACCGGAAUUCUAUAUUUUGGUCUAAACGUUUGUGAUGAAUGAAAGUGCAGAAAAAAAAAGAUAAUCAUCAUUUGAAAACGUACUUAAGUUUAAUUCUUUUGAUGCCGUUUUGGUGCAUAUUUUAUCCGCUCCUCUGGACGUCCAUUUUCUGGAUAAUGUUUUAAAUUGAAACAUGCUGUUAAAAAUGAGACGUCGCUUAAAAAAAAAGGCAUUUCAGGUGGUUUUUGUAUCACACUGGCUUUGAUUCAGGGCUUGUUUCAGGCGAGAGCUUUGACAAUGUCUGUGCUUCUGUAGUUAAAAAAAUAGAAUUUACUUUGGCUUGUGAUCGAACCCCUAAAACCCUCCAGGAUGUGUCAGUACCUGUCGCACUGACCGUGCAAAAGUGAGGCACACAAUCUAAAAUUAAAGAGCACUAAACUACCACACACUGCAGACACCCUGUUACGUUAUUUAGGCUGUUUUAUUUCCUGAAAUAUGCUUUUAUUUUGAAGUUUACCUCUCCUACUAGAUUGUAAAUUACAGAACUGAAUGGAAGCAGUAAAGAAACAGAAAAAGAAAACCUUUGAAUGUCGUAUUUUUAAGAGUCUGAUCAUCAGACAGCAGCUACAGCUAGCUCACUUGCAGCUGCUGCUCCUUCUUCGAUCCCUUUUAGAUUAUAGUGCUUGUUUCAGGUGAGAUCUUUGACAAUGACUACUAGACUACUAAAACUAGAAUUUACUUUGGCUUGUAAUCAAACCCCUAAAACUCUCUCAAAUGUGUCAGCACCUGUGGCACUGGCCGUGUAUUUUGUAGAGUUGGUGGUCCCAACUUUUAUAAGUGAGACACACCAGCUAAAAUUUCAAUACGGCAGACACUAUGUUACUUGAUUUAGACUGUUUUAUUUCCUGAAAUAUGCUUUUAUUUUGAAGUUUACCUCUCCUAUUAGAUUGUAAAUUACAGACAUAAAUGAAACCCUUUGAAUGUCGUAUAUUUAGAAGAGCCUGAUCAUCAGACAGCAGCUACAGCCAGCUCCCUUGCAGCAGCCCUCCUCACAAACAUUUCCAGACCCUGAUGUAGAAACCAAAUUACUGAAGUAUUGGCCUCCCAAUCAACAGCACUUUAUUCCCCUUUAAAGUCCGACCCAGUUUGGCUGAUCCACUAAGUUUUCAUCUAUUUUCACAAGAAUGGAUUCAUACACAGACAGAAUGACGCAGAUGUCACCAAUGCAGCAUAAUGUCUUGCAUAUGGCGUACCAGUGUGGCGACGCAACGUAAAGAGGGAUGGGAGAUAGAGAAGAGGGGAGGUCAGUAUUCAGUCUGUUUCUCAGGCCUAAUUAGUCGCCUCACGGAGCACUCAAAGACGAAGAGAUGGAGGAAGCAAUGGACGGAGAGAAACGCAACAACUGAGGCAGAAUCCCGGAGCAAAUUUACUACUGAGCCUCUCACAAUGACACAGCUAAUAAAACAACCUUAACGGCUGCUCUCCUCCCUCUACAUUUAGAGCCCUGUGAUUGUAGCAGUUUGGGGCCAAAGUAGAAGGCAGUUUAGGGAAAGACGUGCAAAGCUGACACAAAAAGCAGCCAAGAGAAGAAGAAGGAAAAAAAGGCGUUUGAAUCUCAUUUUUAGUCAGCGUGGCGUUAAAUCCAACGCUGUAAAACCUUUUCCCAGGUUCAGCGCUGAAGAGGAGGGAAAUACCGGAGGGGGAAUAAAUGAGGUCUGCUUGGUCAUGUAUGGUGUAAUGUGAAAGGAGCUAAAUCAGCAGCAUUACUCCCAGGUGGCAGAUGAAGGUAGUCCUGGUAUGAGCCUACAUACAGCCUAAUGCACGAGAGCUCCUAAUGCGACAGCCUACACAUGUGAAUUUCAAGUAUGUGAAGCUCAUGGCCAUCACGGAGCGGCUUCAAUCGACUAAAUUACAACCUGAAUCACUUUGUUGAAGGCUGCUGAUGAUGAUUAUAAAAGCUCUCCGUUUGAUUUCAAAGAGAAUCCGAGAAUAAAAGCUUUAAGGGGGCGAGUAUGAAAGCUGAUUAAUUAAAAAGAGUGCAAAAGUACAGAGUGUCAUCAGGAUGGCAUCAAAGUGCCAUCGAACAUCACGGCUGAUACCCUUAGAAGAUUGUUUCAGCACUUUAUUACAGCAUUAUCCUGCCACUCUGACUCCAAAUGAGAACUAACGAGGGAGACAGCUGCGAGAAACUCAACUAUUACUUUCAGCUCUCCGCUCCAAUCAUCAAUCAUCACAAAAAGUUUGUGCGAAAUCUUAAGUGUACGUGAAGAUCUGCACGGACUUGAGUGCCCCAGUUAUACGCCCGCUAUAAGUUAGAGUUUGCACGCACUCAGAGAUGCACUUGGUUAUUCAUUCCCCUGAGUGUGUGAUGAUUACUUCUGUGCCUGUUCCCUUCAUCACAAUAAUGUGCAGCAGAUGCAGAGAGGCGAUCAGUGUUGGUGACUGCUCAGGUGGAUGCAGAGGUUCAGUUCUCUUUGAAUAUGAGGCCUGUACUGAAUUACAGUAUGUCUGUUUUCUUCAAUUUGUUUGAGGGACAGUGUUUAACAUCCUGUGAUCGUUUCAGAGAUGGGUUUGUCCUUUUUCUACUUUGUUUUUUUCAUCAGCUAUAAUCUAAAUAGUCAGUGCUUUGUUGCAUUCAUAACCCACCCAGAGUAAUAUUGAAUUUAUCCUCCUGGUUGUUUGAUUGGAGUUUGAGGUUAACUCUGUUGUUGAGAGUUGAUGAUGUGAGUUGAGAGGUUUUAACCAAUCAGAAUCAAGCACUGAACACAGGUGAGAAUUAAAGGGAUAUUCAGAGGUGAAAUUGUAACACCAAGUUAAAAACCACCUUCUAGAGAUAAUAAUAAUAAUAAUAAUAAUAAUAUCUUACAUUUAUAUAGCGCCUUUCAGGAUACCCAAGGCGCUUAACAACACACUACAAAAAAAAAAAAAAAACUAAAUACCAAAAGCCUGAAUAAACAAGUGUCGCUUCAGAGCAGACUUGAAAGAGUCAAGAGUCUGUGCUUGGCGAAUCUCAGAGGGGAGAGAGUUCCAGAGAGGAGGGGCGGCCACACUGAAGGCUCUGUCACCGAGGGAUCGCCUUUUCCCAUAGCGGACAGUGAGGAGCCCAAGGUCCGCAGACCGCAGAGUACGCGCCGGGAUGUAGUCCUUGAGGAGGUCAGACAGAUAGUAUGGGGCUAGGGCAUGGAGAGCUUUGUAGGUGAGCAGGAGGAGUUUGUAGAUGAUGAAUGAGAUGAAUGUUGUCGACCGCUUGCUUCUCUAGUUAUACCAACUUUAGUAACGACCGCAGGAUAGCAAUACAGAGAGCCACGCCCUCGACCAAAACGCCACUCUAUAGCCACAAAUAAUGCUCAGAACAGCACCUAACUUCAUCAACAGGACAUAUAGGGUUUAUAGGGUUGCUACAGUGGGGUGACACAGCUCAAGGAAGAACAUUUAUGAUCAUUUCUUCAUGGAAAUACAAUCAGACCAAGACGCUAAGACAGAAGAACUACGGCAUCUGCAUUGAAAAAUGAUUAAUAUGGUGAUUAUUACAUCAAGGAAAUGUUAAAGAAAUGAUCAUAAAUGUUCUUCCUUGAGCUGCGUCACCCCAAUAUAUUUAUAUGUAAUACCAAUAAUCUAUAAUAUUUUAAACAUUACAUUUUACUGCUAUAUACUGGUUGAUGUACACAUGGUGAAAUUCGAAUAAAAUUUGCAAAAAGUAAAGUUAAAAAAAGCCCUCCUUCGGAUCAUUUCAGACAGUUUACCAUGAGGGUUAGAGGAGCAGGAGGCUGGUUAACUUUGUUGUUUUUGUAAUUAUUUUUAUCACUAUCUGUUGUUUUUACUUUUACCCUUUACUGUGUGCACUUUGAGAUCUGUUUUCUCAGAUGUAAAGCGCAUUAUAAAUAAAAUGUAUUAUCAUUAUUAUUAUUAGCUCACAAAAGAGCCUGAAAAAGAGACACAAAGUUUGAUUUAAAAUCCUAUCAUCAACCCUGGAUCACUAAAGCAGGUUCAUUUACUACAGAUUUCAAUCCAUGUGGAGGUCAAAGGUCAGUAAAGUGCACAACAGCGACUCUGGAUUAAGCUUCAUUGUUGUGCUGAUGGUUCUGUUUGAAAAGGUGCUGCCUUUGCUAACUCUGCAGAGUCGAGACCUAUUCCACCAGCACGUCCGCUGAAUUAGUCAUAAAGAGAGGGAGACUGUGCUGAGAAAUUCCCAGAUGCGGUACAGUCGGAUUGCUAAUGGAUUUGGCUGUCACGUGUUUCCCCGGUCUCACCGACGGUACAGUACGGUCGAUUGUUACAUAAGGACUUAGCUUCAGGCGGCAGAGGGAUAAAUGUACUUAGCUUCACAGAUAUUCAGGAGAUGGUUCCCCUGCUGCGUGUACAUAUUCUCCUGUUGUAAAGUCUGGCUCUGAACAUUAAACAGAAGAUAUGCAAAUGGCGAAGCUGCCAGUCGUCAUCUGCUGAUACCCGUUUCCUCUGUGCGUCUGUCAUGAGCCGCGGGGGGAAUCAUUUCAGUUGAUUACUCGACUGUGUCAGAUGUCGUCAUUAAGCCAAAUCAAGAGACACAGACGAGGGAAACCAAUGGGGAGCAGCGUCGGGAAGAAAAAGGAGGGAGCGUUUCUAAACUGCAGCAGAGCGAUGCAGAAAUAUAGAACAAGGAGCGUGUGUGCAUGUAUGUGUGCGUGCAUGUGUGUGUGUGUGUGUGUGUGAUCAAGAGAGAAAGAGAGAAAAAAAAGCAAUUCUGAAAAGUUCAUUGAGACAGGUUUUUAUGACGAGCUGCGCCGGUCUUGAUGGCGGGGGAUCAAAAGGAGCUAUGUGUCACGGGGCAGACAGCGCCUUUUCAAGGCCUGUCAGGCUGGCAGCAUUUAAAGUCACAGUUAUUUAGUUUGCUUGGACAGACACGGCACUAAAAGAGACCGAGGAGACGGCACAACUGGCAUGUGGAUUGAACGGCACUGAAGUACAGCGGGCAGCCGAGAUUUAUGCUGCCAUUUUUGGGCUGUCAGGGGCUCAGAGGAGCGAAGUGUCACUCACUCUCAGAGUCUUUUUGAGGAUUUUCUGCACUUGUCUGUCACCGAUUUAAGAUUAAUGUGAUCAGCUCACACAACAGCCACUGGACGCCAAGAGACCCAGAGCUGUCUGCCUCGGUCUUCAUCAUGUCUGCCCUCGAUAAUUAUAAAAUAUAGACGAGAGAGAGACUCCUGACAAAAAAACAGCUCUGGGAAAUACCUCCUGGAUUUUAAAGGUCUAAUCAUCUCAAAACUGGUCACUACAUCAUCAUAUAUGAAUGAGCACAGUAUGCAGUGGUUGACCGAUAAUGAUAAUGUGAGAGCAGGUUAGCCCAGGGCUCAUAUAUAAUAAUCCUGAUACAAUAUUGAUUUGGUAAAACAAUAACACAGGAGCUGUUUUCCAAUCGGCCUACUUCAUACUCCUGCCGACCGCAGUAUACAGUAGAUACUUGCUCGUCCUUGUGUCGUCAGUAUCAGAGGGAAAAUAAGUGUAGUUCACACUCCAACACAGUAGGUGGCAGUAAUGCACCUGAAACCUGAGUGACAUCCCCAGAAUAUGGCAAAGAAGAAUGUUGGCGCCGUGCAAAAUGACACAUCCACUCCGAUUUGAGUUUUUGCAGCUGAUUGAGGUCGACGCAAACAUUUCUGAACAUUUUCCAAACUCAUCCGUCUUCUGUGUUUUUAUUUAUUUUCUUUACAACUUGGCGCUCUCUUCACUCGUGCUCCAGGCAGCGCUCUCUCUCUGUCCCGCUCCGUAUGUCACAGAUUCGUACGUACCGCUGCUGUUUGGAAAAUUACAUUUUCUUAAAAGCUCUGGGUUGCUGCUGUUUCCUGAUAGUUGAGCCCAUAUGAUGGAGUCUGCUGGUAUGUGGUCUGUGCGGCGCAGCGGGGGGGAGACUGUUAGCGGGGGAAAUGAAGGAAAGAGCCGGGCGGUCACACAAUGACGACCAUCUCCAUCAACUUGAACUGCGCCGCACAGCUGAGAGUGUGGCGGCGUGGAACCGAGAGCGACAGCCACCCUACGGAGAUGAUGGCGUUCCCCUCGUGUUUAUGUUGUGUUUGGAGUCUAAAAGUGUUUGUGAGUCAUCUUCACGACAAAAAGAGCCUCGCCUACAGAUCAGAGUGACGAGCUUUAAGGAUCGGCUUUGACGGAGUGUCAGAAAGACUGUUGGUUAAAAAUGAAUUAAUACACUGGUGCAGGAUUAGUCUGAGCCAUUCGCAUGUUGGUGGGAAUGAAUCACAUGAUCUCUGGUGACCCAAAUCUGCAAAAGAACUUUCUGUGAUCAUUUUUAUGAACUUAACAAAAAUAUUAGAACUAAACUUUUCUCAUUUUUAAAAUAUUAUCAGUGAAGAUAUUUGGAUAUUUGUCAGUACAUAAAUAUCUCAUCCCCCCGUUCAAUGAAAGCUAUAAAUUGCAGUUCCCUGAGUGUCCACUUGAGGCUGUCAGCAGAAGCACCGUGAACCACAUACACACUCAGUCAACAGAUCAGUCGUGGUGAAGAAAGAGCUGAGCCGUAAGGCCAGACUCUUGAUUUACCGGUUGAUCUACGUGCCGAUCCUCAGCUAUGAUCAUGAACUUUGGGUAAUGACCGAAAGAACGAGAUCACAGAUACAAGCGGCUGAAAUGGGUUUCCUCCUAAGGUUGUCCGGGCUCAGCCUUAGAGAUAGGGUAAGGAGCUCGGACACUCGGGAGGAGUCAGCUGAGGUGGCUCGGGCAUCUGGUUAGGACGCCUUCUGGACGCCUCCCGUUAGAGGUGUUCCAGACAUGUCCCACCGGGAGGAGACCUUGUGGACGGCCCAGGACCAGAUGGAGGGAUUAUAUUUCUCACCUGACCUGGGAGCGCCUGGAAAUCCCCGGGGAAGAGGAGCUGGUGGAAGUGGCCGGGGUGAGGGCUGUCUGGGCUUCCCUCCUGAAGCCCAGACAGACACACGAAUGAACGAACAAAUACUCAGCCAAAAAAGCCCAUCCUUAGAACAAAAUAAACACUUUUCAUCAGAAGUCUUAGAUGUGUGCGAGGAGAUCCUUGACUUAAAGUUUCCAAUAUGGCGACCAACACUGAUGGGCUUCAAAACUCCACAAACGAACAAACAAACGGGUGAAAUCACAGCCGCUAUUUUACAGUCUCUGACCCUCCUCUUCAUUGUCAAAGUUUGAACAUUUCCAUGACUUCAUUCUGAGUCAUCAGUGCUCCCGUCCAAGUCAAGAGUCCUAAUAUUAGGACUUGAGUACAACUCUAUCAUUAAAUAUGAUUUUGCAAAUAGUAUACCAACACAUUUUCCACUCGAGGACGCCAUCUUUAUCUCAGAGUUUUGGAGGACUUCAGGUUUUAAGACGUUUGCACUGCUGACGUCGAUUCAUCGGCUGAACUUCUUAAAGAUAAAACAAGGUUGAAGCGUUGGUGACACCAACAUAUGGCCUGUGCAGUUUCCAUCUUUAACCCUCUUAGAGAUAAAAAACAAUCUUUAUUUUUAACACCGGCUCCCUGACAGGAUCGUCCCUGAGUUUACAUAGUCAGAGUCUCUAAAGUUGUACGGCGCUGUGAGUGAUGGUCACACCUCCAUCUGACGGUGUUAUUGUGUGAUAAACAUCACACAGCGGGGCAUCAAAAGGCCCGGUGAUCUGAAGCAGGAAGUGAGAGGAGAGCGGCCUCGCCGCCGCCACAUCGAUGGAGUAAAUGGAGAAUGAAAUGAUGUCUGUCCGAGGUCAUUGCACAGCGGCAGAGCGAGCACAGAUAAAAGAAGCAAUUCAGGAAGCGGCCGUGUACAAGGCUGGACCGCUCGGAUUCAUGUUUACACUGCUGCAAACAACUCAUUUAAUGAAUCAGUGAAUAAAAUCUGCAAACGUUGGAAACAACGUCUCAGUUCUGAAGAUCUCAACGCCGUUAUAAACAGCAAAGGAUGUUUUUAAAGUGGAAUACAAAGACUGAAACGGACCGAUUCAGUAAAUUCACUCUUUAAGAGUCUAUUAAAUACAGAUAUAAUCAGUUCUCACAGAAUAUGAGGGGGGGAAUCAAUUAAUUAUAUUCAUCUAAAAAUAUAAAAAAACAAAUUGUACUUUUCCAAAAAAUACAUGUCUAGAAAUAUCAAUAACAAAUAAAUAAAUAUCAAUAAUCUAUCAGGGGUAGCAUUCAUACGUAACUUCUUUUUCUUAUCCUAUUAUUACCGUAUUUUUCGCACUAUAAGGCGCACUUAAAAUCCUUUUGGCUUGUCGGAGCACUGCAGCUACCGUAGCCUCGGGAGUUAUUGACUGUUUUGUUUGGCGUAAUGCGCUUUGUAAUCCGGUGCGCCUUAUGUAUGAAAAAAGGCGAAAAUAGACACGUUCACUGAUGGUGCGCCUUAUAGUGCGCAAAAAUAAGGUAAGUUAAAUUUUCGUUCCCAAGGUCCGAGCUGCAGCUUAUCUUGCUCAUGUGCAAAUAAAAAACUGCAGUUCCUCAGGUGUCCAGUUGAGGCAGUGUUUAAAAGCGAGUUCAGUCCGUUCUCCACCAGAGGGCAGCAUGUUUACGACAAAACAAACCCUCAUUCUUACAUCUUGAAUUGGGAAUGAUUUUUGUACAACUUAGACGUAGACGGAGCGUUUGUGGUCCCGUUGUUGUCUGAUGAUAACCAAAGAAAUCAAAUUUCCCUAAAAUGACUUUAGUUCCUCUAAAGUGAAACAUCUCUGGUGGGGUGGAGAACGCUCCUCUUAUCGCAGAGAAUAAAAAAGUCAUAGACAGGAGCCUUGGGGAGUAACAGCGGUGAAGAUUCCUACAUUAAAAUGUUCUUGUCAGAUUCAGUACACUCCCUGUGAACUUGAAUCAGCGUUCUCCACAAAGACUCUCGCAGCACUCAUGUCCCCGGCGUGCCACCCAUGCUCUGCAGAAGAAGAAGAAAAAAACUGCAGCAGUAAAAAAGUAAAAAAGCGCUCCUCUCUGAUCUUCCUGGAGCCGCUGCGUCUUGUUAUUGUAUUAAUUUAGCUGCCAGAUAUUCUCUGUGUUUGUAAUAUUCCCCCGUCACUCGUCUCAGUCAAUUCUGCCUCUGCUUUCUGUAAUUUUCAUGUUGGUCCCCAUCACUCGCCUUAAACAUAAAUUAGUCCUGCGCCUGGUAAAUACUGCUCUCCACCCCAGUCAGAGACAAAGAGAGUAUCUACAGGAGGAAUAUACGAGCAUCGAUCGGCCCUCGUGGCCACGUCUGGUCUCCACAAUAGCACGCUAUUGAUGUGCUGGAAUUGCUUUUGAAGGCAGACAGAUUGAUAUAAUGGUGUGUGUGGAUCCUCCAGGGCUGGGCUGCCAGAGCUCCAGUCUGAUUCAACGACCUUGGGUCAAUCCAUCCAUUUGCAUCGGCCCUCUUUGGUGUUUGUGCUGCAGACAUGGAGGUUCCUCCGAGGGGACUGCGGUCCUUCUCUGAACCAGCACCGGAACAGCAAAUGGACCCUUUUACUCUCGCUGUUGAUUCUUACUGCAAACAGGUUAAUGUUAUUGAUUUUGUGUCCGCUGUGACCUGUAAAAGGGGAUGUGAUGGCGUGCUGGCAGUUUCUGUUUCCUCCCGCCUGACCUUCAGAUCUGAGUUUGUGUUUUGACCUCUCUCACUGUAAACUUAGAGCUCGUGUGAAGACUUUAUGUUUGUGUUGAGUUUGGUGCCCCCUGUGGACAAAGUUUGCUGAAUCUUGUGUAUGUGUAAGUCUGUUUUUAAUGAUUUUAUUCAUGAUAUUGACAGAGAUAGUAGGAUGAGUUAGUAGUGGGAACCAACUAAAGAAAGUCUAACACUCACUUUAGCGUGGUUAUUCGUCUCUACCUCCUGCUAUCCUUUCAUACUGGUCACUUGUUGGACUUCACUUCCUCUUUUGACAAAGUAGACCCCUCUAUCCUCUUAAACCAUCUCAAACAUCAUGUUGGUACCCAUGGUUGUUCUCUCUCCCAUCUUUCUUAACCCCCAAUUUCUACCGCAUCUGGAAUGGCGGCGGAAAGGCUGUAUGCGCCAAUCGCAGCUAAUCGUUUCCAUUUAAGUUAAUGUGUCAAUUUCCAACGGCUUCUUUCCGGACUCUGCAGCCGAUCACCUGAGUUCUUCUUCUUCCGGACGCCACAGCAUGUUGCAUAAAUCAAGCACAGAUUAGCUUGUGCUGGAAAGGACACAAAAUAAAACACUCCAUGUUUCAGGAUCGUAUUUCACACCAUGCAAACGGGCGGAGACGAACAAGUGAAAGGUUUUUAGACGUCAUUUCACCCCGAUGACACCAUGGAUGAGGAGAUGCUGAGUCUAGAAGUAGAUUUCCUCCUCUUGAAGGACACAAUCUACUGCUUAUAUGUCUAUGUGUCUGUCUCUAUAGAGACAACUUGUUAACGCAUGAUUGCACCUGAAUCCGUGGGUUGUUGUGAGGUCUUGCGAUUCCCGCUAUCCAAAAUCUGCCACAAAAUUCGCCUCACAAACACAUCUGGUAGGAAUAGGCGGAUGGCGAAAAUCGCUACCAUUCAGGAUGCGUUGGAAAUUGUUGGUGACAGACAGAUCCUUUUCCAUCCAAUCCUGUUUCUGUGCAUCUGCUUCCACCACCCAAGGAGUCCCUUAAGGCUCAAUAUUAGGACCUGAACUCUUCACCCUGUACUUGACCCUCAGAGAGAAUCAGGAAUUACUGGACAUCAUGCAGCCAAUAAGAUUCAGACGUUCACUCUUAGCCUUGUGCAUAUUUGCAGAACAGAGGUAAUAACUGAAAAGGAGUCACAGUUUGUUCCCCUGUCGGUAAAUAAAUAUGCUCCUUUAAUUCUGGAAUCCCUGACAUUGAGCUAAAUCCUUUUCGAAAGGCGCUCACCUGCGUGGAUCCAGAGGUAAAAGUCGUGCCUUAUCAUCACCUGUUUUCGUGCACUUUAGAUAAAUUCUGCGGGGAUGUGUAACGUCGACUAUAUUGAACCUGAAAGAUGAAAACUGUCAAAGUAGCAAAGGCUUCGGGCUGACAAAAGGGACACAGUCUCGCUGCUGAUGUCAACUGCAUUUGUUUGUUUCUCUGAGUGAUUGCCGGUGUGUUUGUUGCUCUCAGCAACUUUUUCUGUUUGUUGUUGCACUUUUCUUUUCGCUGAGUUUUCAGCCGAGAUGUGUCUCUAAAAAAGAAAUCACACCAAGGCGAGAAGUAAUAUCUGGAGCAGCAAACAUCGUGGUAGGUGGUCCAUGUUUUCCUCCAAAAUGAAAGCUCUGACCUUAUAUGUGGUCCUUGGUGGAGCAGAGCUCAUGAGAUUGUUUUCAGCUGCAGGGCUUCACUUUGUCUCUGUGUUUCUCUCGGCUUUUAUUUUACUUUAUUUACCCCUCUUUUGAUCCCUCCACGUCCACCUCUCUCUGUCUGCACAGGACGCCGCCGCCGCCGCCGCCGCCGCCGCCGCCGCCGCUGCCGCCUCUGCACCUGGCGAAAAGCGGCCUUAAUCCAAUACUGGAGCUUCUUUCUUCCUCCGGGCUCUUCUUCACUCCUCUGAUCCUUACUCUUGUUUUGUAUGUUUUACGUCUGAAGGGAAAGUUCACUUUUCUCUCCUUGUGAAGAUGUUUUAAUUUAAACACACCUCCCGUCUCUUUUCUGUCAAACUGCAUUUUUUCCUCUGAGUGUCUUUGUAUGAGGAAAUACCUGAGCAAUAUUCACCAGCUGAUCAUAACAUCAAGAGCAGGAAAGAUGUCUACCUGCAGAGUUUCCCCUGCUUCUGCAUGUGAAUGAUUGCUUUUAUUCUGGGGUGGGAAAAUAUAAAUCUGAAUUCUUCGACAGGAGGCAACAAAAGACAGAUAUAAAUAACAUCUGCUCCAGGAGGGAUCCCUGUGUUUGGAUGCCAAGACGUGUCUGCGUCAGGCUGCUGACUUUAAAUUCAGAGCAGCUCUCCUCAGAAACAAAGACAUGUGUUUGCGUCGGUAAUUUGCAGGUGCAAAGCGUUUGAUUUAACAUACAUUUAUUUCCAAAGAUGGGUUUAAACUUCCUGCUAGAAAAAUAUGAUUCUACCGUUAGAGUUUCCGCCUGUGUGCUGCCUCAGCGGAGGUUUUUAAAGACAGAUAUAAGCUCUUAGUGCGAACAAAUGUAUGUGGAAUAAAAGCCUCGGUGACACUAAAGGCGGGUUUGCAUGACUGCUGUCUCUGUUCUGAUUGAAAAGUCUGUGUUUACAUCUGUGUCGACCCGGUGUAUAAGCGCUCUGCUGAGAGGACUGAAGAUCAGAAGGUCAGAGGAUGGAUGGUGGGAACAGAGGAGAGAAAGGUGAUGCAUAAAUACCAGGAAAAAAACGGCAAAAAAGGAGCCUCUCGAUAAGUAGAAACAAACCGACAGCUCUAGGAGGGACGACCAGAGCUUUAGGAGAUGAUGACCCAACAGGUGUGGAGGGGAGUCCACACCCUAUAUCACAGCCAAUGAGAAGCUAAAGAUUUGAUAGACGUUAACAUGACACUCGAGAAACCGAAUUAUCGCCUUAUUCCGAUUAAGACCAGACAACUGAAGGUCAUGUAAACACUUUUGUCAGACUCUAAUCAGAGUUUGAGAACUCUGAUUAAGACACCCAGAUAAUGUGAUUGGAAUUCGAUUUUCUCAGCACUUUCUUAUUUAUUUUGCGAUUAAACAUUUUUACACCAACUGAACCGGUUUUAUGUUAUGUCCUUUUCCUUCCCGAGCUGGGUUGUAACAACGUGGACAAGGAAAGAAGUCUGAUUCAGAGAAAAAAACUUAUUCUGAGCUUAGUCCAAUUAAACUGUGCAUGUAAAGGCACUGACUGUGAAGUUGUGAAGUUAAGAUCUCUCAGACUGCAGAGGUUUACUUUCAGGUGUUUCCUGAUCCAUCCCAGAGACCUUCAAUAUCUAAUCUGUCAGACAGGAUCAUACAUAAUUGUCUUGCAUUCAAUAAACAGGCUCCCCGGUGUAUUUCCCAUCAUGCAAACACCACCUGUUUCCUGGCAGAGCAGAUUUAUGUCUGUGACUGAUCCUGCUAAGAGCACCGUCGAUGUUGGUAAACUCCUAAAUCUUGACCGGACUUUAAAAAUGUUUAAUUUUCAUGUCUUUAUUUCAUUCAUGAUGGUGUUUUACUUUUUAAAAACAUGAUUCAUCCUGAGAAAAGAGUUUCUGAUGAGUUCAGUUUCAUGGUUUUGAGCACAAAAAGGCUAAACGUCAUCUCACUUGAGCCGUUUUUGUGUCUUUUUUUUACUCGCGGAGAAAAGUAAACCAGAGGGUGUGUAAUUGCACCCUCACAUUUAGCCUUGUGAACACCCUGCUGUCAAAUCGCUGCCAUACUAUAAAGUUUUCUUUUUUUCUCUUCCGUCUAAGUGGCUGAGAGACAGUUGGCGUCAUCACCUACUGCAAUAACAACCAUAAUUUCACCAUCUGUCUCCCAAUCCAAUAUUGGCUCUACUUCAGCUUUCUUAUUAUAUGAUAUUAUUUUCUAACCAGAGGUUGCUCGGAUAAAGAGCGGAGGAUGGUGCAGCACGAGGCUGCCAUGGCAACACAGUGCCAGUGGUCAUCGGGUCUCCAGAUGUCUUUGAAAUGGUCGGUGUGCAUUCGCUUCAAACAGCACAUCACACAGCGAGCCCUCUGAAGUAUCCUGGUCUUACCUCAUCCUUUCAUCUGGGGCUAAAUAAGUCUUUCCUUUUUCCGAACGCAGGAGGAGGAGAAGAGGAGGAACAUAAUAAUCAGGGAGCGGACACUCAGGUCAUUACAGUUGCAAAAGAAACUUUGAAACGGAAGAACGAUCUUUUACCUCGAUAGUCUCGUGGAUUCGCCCCCGACACUCUGAGGAGCUGCACAAAGCUGAAAAUGAGAGUCAAUAUUAAGAGAGUUUAGAGGUGGAGACAGUUUCAGCAAACAUCUCCUUCCUGCGAGUAAUCCGAGCGCCGUCAAGUAUCAAACAAAAGCAAAGAUGCAUAGUGACUAAACCCUGUGAUCGCCUCCUAAACACUAGCCCGUAGAGACACAGUCUGGACCCUGAUCGGGAUUGACGAUGUUUGAUUUUAAUUAAAGCUGGGUUACAUCUGAGAGAGAUCUGCGGGGUGCCGCAGCUCAAGGAAGAACAUUUAUGAUCAUUUCUUCAUGGAAAUACAAUCAGACCGAGACGCUAAGACAGAAGAACUACUGCGUCUGUAAAAUGAUUAAUAUGAAGAUUAUUACUUCAAGGAAAUGAUAAAGAAAUGAUCGGCAGUCAAUGGACUGGCCUGAGGUCUCGCUACAAACAAGCGGCUGCUGGAAGAGAGUAGGUGAGUUGUGUUUAGUCUCUUUGCUAAAGAAAUGAGUCAAAGUUAAAAAGAUGUUUGGUGUCUAGUACUAUGUCUGUGACCCUAUAUGUCCUGUUGAUGAAGUUAGGUGCUGUUCUGAGCAUUAUUUGUGGCUAUAGAGUGGCGUUUUGGUUGAGGGCGUGGCUCUCUG